rnacentral:rRNA from 1 species
UAGAGUUUCGAUCCUGGCGUCAGGAUGAACGCUGGCGGCGUGCCUAACACAUGCAAGUCGAACGGGCUCGGAUUGAAACCUAGUGAUUCCGAGUUAGUGGCGGACGGGUGAGUAACGCGUGGAUAACCUGCCGUAUGCAGGGGGAUAACAGUUGGAAACAGCUGCUAAUACCGCAUAAGCGCACAGUACCGCAUGGUACGGUGUGAAAAGAUUUAUCGGCAUACGAUGGAUCCGCGUCUGAUUAGCCAGUUGGCGGGGUAACGGCCCACCAAAGCGACGAUCGGUAGCCGGCCUGAGAGGGCGGACGGCCACAUUGGGACUGAGACACGGCCCAAACUCCUACGGGAGGCAGCAGUGGGGAAUAUUGCACAAUGGGGGAAACCCUGAUGCAGCGACGCCGCGUGAGUGAAGAAGUAUUUCGGUAUGCAAAGCUCUAUCAGCAGGGAAGAAAAUGACGGUACCUGACUAAGAAGCCCCGGCUAACUACGUG